rnacentral:rRNA from 1 species
AUUGAACGCUGGCGGCGUGCCUAACACAUGCAAGUCGAGCGGUAACAGGUGUAGCAAUACAUGCUGACGAGCGGCGGACGGGUGAGUAACGCUUGGGAAUCUGCCUAUUAGUGGGGGACAACCCGGGGAAACUCGGGCUAAUACCGCAUACGCUCUACGGAGGAAAGCCGGGGACCGCAAGGCCUGGCGCUAAUAGAUGAGCCCAAGUCGGAUUAGCUAGUUGGUAGGGUAAUGGCCUACCAAGGCGACGAUCCGUAACUGGUCUGAGAGGACGACCAGUCACACCGGAACUGAGACACGGUCCGGACUCCUACGGGAGGCAGCAGCGGGGAAUAUUGGACAAUGGGCGAAAGCCUGAUCCAGCGACGCCGCGUGGGUGAAGAAGGCCUGCGGGUUGUAAAGCCCUUUCAGUGGGGAAGAAAAGCCUCGACCUAACACGUCGGGGUCUUGACGUAACCCAUAGAAGAAGCACCGGCUAACUCUGUGCCAGCCGCCGCCGUAAU